UACGUAGGGACCAAGCGUUGUUCGGAUUUACUGGGCGUAAAGGGCGCGUAGGCGGCAAUUCAAGUCAUCUGUGAAAUCUCCGGGCUUAACUCGGAACGGUCAGAUGAUACUGCUUUGCUCGAGUGCGGAAGGGGCAAUCGGAAUUCUUGGUGUAGCGGUGAAAUGCGUAGAUAUCAAGAGGAACACCUGAGGUGAGGACGGGCUGCUGGGCAGACACUGACGCUGACAGCGCGAAAGCCAGGGGAGCAAACGGG
rnacentral:rRNA from 1 species